CCUACGGGUGGCAGCAGUAGGGAAUCUUCCGCAAUGGGCGAAAGCCUGACGGAGCAACGCCGCGUGAGUGAAGAAGGUCUUCGGAUCGUAAAACUCUGUUAUUUGGGAAGAACAAAUGUGUAAGUAACUAUGCACGUCUUGACGGUACCUAAUCAGAAAGCCACGGCUAACUACGUGCCAGCAGCCGCGGUAAUACGUAGGUGGCAAGCGUUAUCCGGAAUUAUUGGGCGUAAAGCGCGCGUAGGCGGUUUUUUAAGUCUGAUGUGAAAGCCCACGGCUCAACCGUGGAGGGUCAUUGAAACUGGAAAACUUGAGUGCAGAAGAGGAAAGUGGAAUUCCAUGUGUAGCGGUGAAAUGCGCAGAGAUAUGGAGGAACACCAGUGGCGAAGGCGACUUUCUGGUCUGUAACUGACGCUGAUGUGCGAAAGCGUGGGGAUCAAACAGGAUUAGAUACCCCAGUAGUC
rnacentral:rRNA from 1 species